UUUGUGUUCAAAGCAUGAAGAUGAAGCCGAUUUCGAGGGAAUCUUUCAACGUGCUGGCCAGUAAAGAUUUGUGUUGGAUAUGUUCCUGUUUCUUCAGAAGC